rnacentral:rRNA from 1 species
AGAACGAACGCUGGCGGCAGGCCUAACACAUGCAAGUCGAACGCCGUAGCAAUACGGAGUGGCAGACGGGUGAGUAACGCGUGGGAACAUACCCUUCGGUUCGGAAUAACUCAGGGAAACUUGAGCUAAUACCGGAUACGUCCGAGGUUUUAAUCGACCUUGGAGAAAGAUUUAUCGCCGGAGGAUUGGCCCGCGUCUGAUUAGCUUGUUGGUGAGGUAAUGGCUCACCAAGGCGACGAUCAGUAGCUGGUCUGAGAGGAUGAUCAGCCACAUUGGGACUGAGACACGGCCCAAACUCCUACGGGAGGCAGCAGUGGGGAAUAUUGGACAAUGGGCGAAAGCCUGAUCCAGCAAUGCCGCGUGAGUGAUGAAGGCCUUAGGUUGUAAAGCUCUUUUACCGGGAUGAUAAUGACAGUACCGGAGAAUAAGCUCCGGCUAACUCCGCGCCAGCAGCCGC